GACGUAGGGCGCGAGCGUUGUCCGGAUUUAUUGGGCGUAAAGAGCUCGUAGGCGGCUUGUCGCGUCGACUGUGAAAACCCGAGGCUCAACCUCGGGCCUGCAGUGGGUACGGGCAGACUAGAGUGCGGUAGGGGAGAAUGGAAUUCCUGGUGUAGCGGUGGAAUGCGCAGAUAUCAGGAGGAACACCGAUGGGGAAGGCAGGUCUCUGGGCCGUAACUGGCGGUGAGGAACGAAAGCAUGGGGAGCGAACAGG
rnacentral:rRNA from 1 species